rnacentral:rRNA from 1 species
UCCUACGGGAGGCAGCAGUAGGGAAUCUUCCACAAUGGGCGAAAGCCUGAUGGAGCAACGCCGCGUGGGUGAAGAAGGUCUUCGGAUCGUAAAACCCUGUUGUUAGAGAAGAAAGUGCGUGAGAGUAACUGUUCACGUUUCGACGGUAUCUAACCAGAAAGCCACGGCUAACUACGUGCCAGCAGCCGCGGUAAUACGUAGGUGGCAAGCGUUAUCCGGAUUUAUUGGGCGUAAAGGGAACGAAGCCGGCGUUUUAAGUCUGCUGUGAUAGCCUUCGGCUUAACCGGAGUAGUGCAUUGGAAACU